GACGAACGCUGGCGGCGUGCUUAACACAUGCAAGUCGAACGGAAAGGCCCUGCUUUUGUGGGGUGCUCGAGUGGCGAACGGGUGAGUAACACGUGAGUAACCUGCCCUUGACUUUGGGAUAACUUCAGGAAACUGGGGCUAAUACCGGAUAGGAGCUCCUGCUCCAUGGUGGGGGUUGGAAAGUUUCGGCGGUUGGGGAUGGACUCGCGGCUUAUCAGCUUGUUGGUGGGGUAGUGGCUUACCAAGGCUUUGACGGGUAGCCGGCCUGAGAGGGUGACCGGCCACAUUGGGACUGAGAUACGGCCCAGACUCCUACGGGAGGCAGCAGUGGGGAAUAUUGCACAAUGGGCGGAAGCCUGAUGCAGCAACGCCGCGUGCGGGAUGCCGGCCUUCGGGUUGUAAACCGCUUUCGCAUGUGACGAAGCGUGAGUGACGGUAAUGGGUAAAGAAGCACCGGCUAACUACGUG
rnacentral:rRNA from 1 species